rnacentral:rRNA from 1 species
UUUUUUUAUUUUUUAUUUUACCCACAGACGAACGCUGGCGGCGUGCCUAAUACAUGCAAGUCGUACGCUUCUUUUUCCACCGGAGCUUGCUCCACCGGAAAAAAGAGGAGUGGCGAACGGGUGAGUAACACGUGGGUAACCUGCCCAUCAGAAGGGGAUAACACUUGGAAACAGGUGCUAAUACCGUAUAACAAUCGAAACCGCAUGGUUUUGAUUUGAAAGGCGCUUUCGGGUGUCGCUGAUGGAUGGACCCGCGGUGCAUUAGCUAGUUGGUGAGGUAACGGCUCACCAAGGCCACGAUGCAUAGCCGACCUGAGAGGGUGAUCGGCCACAUUGGGACUGAGACACGGCCCAAACUCCUACGGGAGGCAGCAGUAGGGAAUCUUCGGCAAUGGACGAAAGUCUGACCGAGCAACGCCGCGUGAGUGAAGAAGGUUUUCGGAUCGUAAAACUCUGUUGUUAGAGAAGAAUAAGGAUGAGAGUAACUGUUCAUCCCUUGACGGUAUCUAACCAGAAAGCCACGGCUAACUACGUGCCAGCAGCCGCGGUAAUACGUAGGUGGCAAGCGUUGUCCGGAUUUAUUGGGCGUAAAGCGAGCGCAGGCGGUUUCUUAAGUCUGAUGUGAAAGCCCCCGGCUCAACCGGGGAGGGUCAUUGGAAACUGGGAGACUUGAGUGCAGAAGAGGAGAGUGGAAUUCCAUGUGUAGCGGUGAAAUGCGUAGAUAUAUGGAGGAACACCAGUGGCGAAGGCGGCUCUCUGGUCUGUAACUGACGCUGAGGCUCGAAAGCGUGGGGAGCAAACAGGAUUAGAUACCCUGGUAGUCCACGCCGUAAACGAUGAGUGCUAAGUGUUGGAGGGUUUCCGCCCUUCAGUGCUGCAGCUAACGCAUUAAGCACUCCGUCCUGGGGGGGGCG